rnacentral:rRNA from 1 species
GACAGAGGGUGCAAACGUUGCUCGGAAUCACUGGGCGUAAAGGGCGCGUAGGCGGGAAUUGUAAGUCGGGCGUGAAAUCCCCAGGCUCAACCUGGGAACUGCACUCGAAACUGCGUUUCUUGAGUAUCGGAGAGGAAAGCGGAAUUCCUGGUGUAGAGGUGAAAUUCGUAGAUAUCAGGAGGAACACCAGUGGCGAAGGCGGCUUUCUGGACGGUAACUGGACGC